rnacentral:rRNA from 2 species
UUGAUUGGUGCUUGCAUCAUGAUUUACAUUUGAGUGAGUGGCGAACUGGUGAGUAACACGUGGGAAACCUGCCCAGAAGCGGGGGAUAACACCUGGAAACAGAUGCUAAUACCGCAUAACAACUUGGACCGCAUGGUCCGAGUUUGAAAGAUGGCUUCGGCUAUCACUUUUGGAUGGUCCCGCGGCGUAUUAGCUAGAUGGUGGGGUAACGGCUCACCAUGGCAAUGAUACGUAGCCGACCUGAGAGGGUAAUCGGCCACAUUGGGACUGAGACACGGCCCAAACUCCUACGGGAGGCAGCAGUAGGGAAUCUUCCACAAUGGACGAAAGUCUGAUGGAGCAACGCCGCGUGAGUGAAGAAGGGUUUCGGCUCGUAAAACUCUGUUGUUAAAGAAGAACAUAUCUGAGAGUAACUGUUCAGGUAUUGACGGUAUUUAACCAGAAAGCCACGGCUAACUACGUGCCAGCAGCCGCGGUAAUACGUAGGUGGCAAGCGUUGUCCGGAUUUAUUGGGCGUAAAGCGAGCGCAGGCGGUUUUUUAAGUCUGAUGUGAAAGCCUUCGGCUCAACCGAAGAAGUGCAUCGGAAACUGGGAAACUUGAGUGCAGAAGAGGACAGUGGAACUCCAUGUGUAGCGGUGAAAUGCGUAGAUAUAUGGAAGAACACCAGUGGCGAAGGCGGCUGUCUGGUCUGUAACUGACGCUGAGGCUCGAAAGUAUGGGUAGCAAACAGGAUUAGAUACCCUGGUAGUCCAUACCGUAAACGAUGAAUGCUAAGUGUUGGAGGGUUUCCGCCCUUCAGUGCUGCAGCUAACGCAUUAAGCAUUCCGCCUGGGGAGUACGGCCGCAAGGCUGAAACUCAAAGGAAUUGACGGGGGCCCGCACAAGCGGUGGAGCAUGUGGUUUAAUUCGAAGCUACGCGAAGAACCUUACCAGGUCUUGACAUACUAUGCAAAUCUAAGAGAUUAGACGUUCCCUUCGGGGACAUGGAUACAGGUGGUGCAUGGUUGUCGUCAGCUCGUGUCGUGAGAUGUUGGGUUAAGUCCCGCAACGAGCGCAACCCUUAUUAUCAGUUGCCAGCAUUAAGUUGGGCACUCUGGUGAGACUGCCGGUGACAAACCGGAGGAAGGUGGGGAUGACGUCAAAUCAUCAUGCCCCUUAUGACCUGGGCUACACACGUGCUACAAUGGAUGGUACAACGAGUUGCGAACUCGCGAGAGUAAGCUAAUCUCUUAAAGCCAUUCUCAGUUCGGAUUGUAGGCUGCAACUCGCCUACAUGAAGUCGGAAUCGCUAGUAAUCGCGGAUCAGCAUGCCGCGGUGAAUACGUUCCCGGGCCUUGUACACACCGCCCGUCACACCAUGAGAGUUUGUAACACCCAAAGUCGGU